rnacentral:rRNA from 1 species
GACGAACGCUGGCGGCGUGCCUAAUACAUGCAAGUUGAGCGAUGAAGCUUGGUGCUUGCACCAAUUUGAAGAGCAGCGAACGGGUGAGUAACGCGUGGGGAAUCUGCCUUUGAGCGGGGGACGACAUUUGGAAACGAAUGCUAAUACCGCAUAACAACUUUAAACAUAAGUUUUAAGUUUGAAAGAUGCAAUUGCAUCACUCAAAGAUGAUCCCGCGUUGUAUUAGCUAGUUGGUGAGGUAAAGGCUCACCAAGGCGAUGAUACAUAGCCGACCUGAGAGGGUGAUCGGCCACAUUGGGACUGAGACACGGCCCAAACUCCUACGGGAGGCAGCAGUAGGGAAUCUUCGGCAAUGGACGAAAGUCUGACCGAGCAACGCCGCGUGAGUGAAGAAGGUUUUCGGAUCGUAAAACUCGGUUGGUAGAGAAGAACGUUGGUGAGAGUGGAAAGCUCAUCAAGUGACGGUAACUACCCAGAAAGGGACGGCUAACUACGUG